AAAAAUAUUGCAUUGUGGUCCCAGUAAGAAAUCUCUGUUAUAAUGCUUGAACUUUGUCAUACCAUGUGGGCCAGCAGUGUAUGUCGAAUGAUGGCCAGACACUACAGCAGACUUAUUGAUUUAGUGGACUCUCCCCAUCCGGUGUUUGAUCUCCUAGUGUACACGCCCUGGACAGUAGCUGUGGCUGCUAUUUAAACUGAGAUCUUUUGGUCUGAAAGUAGCACUUCUACCUGACACAAAAGAAAUCCUCCCUCCUGAAUGAAUCAGUAAGAUCUGUGUUAAGUGAAAGCUUGUCUCAUCUGACUGCUCCUUGAAUAUCUUGCUGGUACCUCUCCAAAAACAUAGAAAUAUUCUGGCAAAGUAAUGGGACUGAAAAGAGGGUUCUUUGUUCCCUGAGUUGCUGUACAGUUUGAAAGUGAAAAUACAAAGAUAUCUGUAGGUCACCAAAGGUUAACAUUUCCUCUGGUAUUACUGAUUUGACAAAUGAAGGGAAAACAAACACCCCAGCCAUAGGAACAGAAUGGCAGAAUCAUUGCAAAUCCAGAAGCACACAACACUAAUAAACAAGUGAAGGUACACUUCCAGUGGUAUCCAGAGCAGCAUCCGAUUGAGGAUCUGGAUCAAAACUUUCUCUGGAGAUUUAUGUAGGACAAAGGGCUUUUCUGUUCUUUCUUCAGGCACCUGAUGCUAAAUCCAGAUGGCCGACUCCUGGUAUUGGACACAGUGGCUGCCCAUUCAUUUGUUGUGCAAAUAUUUUCCUUCAGCCAAAAAUAACAAUCAACGAGGAAGCAAAAGGAUGCAAACAUGAUGGACAGCCUGCUGGGCUUUGGAAAUACUUUAAAUUUUAUGCAGCAAAUGGAGCCACAUACUGACAUUUCAAAUCUUCUCCUUCAGAGAAUUCUUUACAGAAACAUUUUCAUCACAUUUUGCUCUGUCUUCAGUAUGCCUACAUUUUAACAUCUUUAAUAAAGCUGAAGAAAAGAACAA